GAUGAACGCUGGCGGCGUGCCUAAUACAUGCAAGUCGAGCGAACAGACGAGGAGCUUGCUCCUUUGACGUUAGCGGCGGACGGGUGAGUAACACGUGGAUAACCUACCUAUAAGACUGGGAUAACUUCGGGAAACCGGAGCUAAUACCGGAUAACAUGUUGAACCGCAUGGUUCAACAGUGAAAGGCGGUCCUGCUGUCACUUAUAGAUGGAUCCGCGCCGCAUUAGCUAGUUGGUAAGGUAACGGCUUACCAAGGCAACGAUGCGUAGCCGACCUGAGAGGGUGAUCGGCCACACUGGAACUGAGACACGGUCCAGACUCCUACGGGAGGCAGCAGUAGGGAAUCUUCCGCAAUGGGCGAAAGCCUGACGGAGCAACGCCGCGUGAGUGAAGAAGGUCUUCGGAUCGUAAAACUCUGUUAUUAGGGAAGAACAAAUGUGUAAGUAACUAUGCACGUCUUGACGGUACCUAAUCAGAAAGCCACGGCUAACUACGUG
rnacentral:rRNA from 1 species